UCCCGGGUAGCUCAAUUGGUUAGAGCUUUGGACUUUUAAUCCAAGGGCUGUGGGUUCGAGUCCCACCUCGGGAG
rnacentral:tRNA from 3 species